rnacentral:rRNA from 1 species
AACGGAAGGUGCAAGCGUUGCUCGGAAUCACUGGGCGUAAAGGGUGCGUAGGCGGCCGCGCAAGUCUGGCGUGAAAGCCCCGGGCUCAGCCCGGGAAGGGCGCUCGAAACGGCGCGGCUCGAGUGCCGGAGGGGAGAGUGGAAUUCCUGGUGUAGCGGUGAAAUGCGUAGAUAUCGGAAGGAACGCCGGUGGCGAAAGCGGCGUGCUGGACCACUUCUGACGCUGAGGCGCGAAAGCCAGGGGAGCAAACGGG